rnacentral:rRNA from 1 species
AGAGUUUGAUCAUGGCUACAGAACGAACGCUGGCGGCGCGUCUUAAACAUGCAAGUCGAACGAUCUGUAGCAAUACAGGGAGUGGCGGACGGGUGAGGAACACGUAGGAAUCUACCUAGAAGAGCGGGACAACCUUGGGAAACCGGGGCUAAUACCGCAUAGUACAGUGAUGUUAAAGGGCUAGCAAUAGUCGCUUCUAGAUGAGCCUGCGGUCUAUCAGCUUGUUGGCGGGGUAACGGCCCACCAAGGCUACGACGGAUAGCCGGUCUGAGAGGAUGAUCGGCCACACUGGCACUGAGACACGGGCCAGACUCCUACGGGAGGCAGCAGUUAAGAAUCUUGCGCAAUGGACGAAAGUCUGACGCAGCGACGCCGCGUGAAGGAUGAAGGCUUUCGGGUUGUAAACUUCGGUAGACUGGGAAGAAAAAGUAAGUUCGUUGAGGGCUUACAUUGACGGUACCAGUCUGAAGCCCCGGCUAAUUACGUG